GUUUUGUAAUUCUACAGUAGUUAUGAAAGAAAACAAAAAGAAAAGGAUCCCAGAGCUGCUGGAGCUACAAACCGCAGCAUGACAGUGUGAGUUACCACGCUGUGUCUUGUGGCCACCUCUCGCUGUGCUCUGCCUUGUGGCCCACGUGCUGAGGGGCGGAGAGGGAUGUCCAGGAGUCACCCAGAGUGAUGUGUGGGCAGAUGAGAUCCAAACAAACCAAAUGGAUGGAGGAAGCCAGUUGUAUCCAGCAGUGCUACCAAGAGCUCAGUGACUCUUCUUUGGGACUAUGGAACACUUGCUAAAAAGUGCAGUUUUCAUCAUGAGUGUGUGCAGCAUCUGCAGCCUGCUCCUUUUCCUGCUUCUCCAUCUGUACCACAGGCUCUGCUGGAACAGAAUGGUCAGGAUGUGGCUCAGGUAAGCGAGGUGCUGGCCACACACUGGAUGCAGCAAGGUCUGCAUCUGACCACACAGCACAGGGAUCUAGAGGAUCAGGGCACUGCAGGAAGGGUUCUGAGCAAGCAGAAAGUGUAACAGCUCCUGCAGAGUUCCCUCAGUAUGGUGAUGGUAUGCCUGGCUGCAUUGGCUCAGGGGUGUGGCAGCAAAUAUCUUCCUGACUGCCCCCUGCCCCACCACACCAAUCUCUGCACUGCAGCAUCUGAAGGCACUGCUGUACUGCCAUGAGAAUCAACCCCGUGGUUGAUGGUAACCAUGGGGUAUGAAAUUGAGUCACUGAUUCACCCACUAGGCUGGGGCUGUUCGCAAUUAGACUGCAAUAACAGAAAUCAGAGCUGCAGCCUUAGCAAUGUGUGUUAUCUAUGGGCAGUUGUGUCUCAUAGCCUGCUUCAGUGAUCCAACAGGGGAGAAUUAAGUGACCUUCCAGAUCCUAAUUCAUUAAUGGCUGAUUGUCAUCCCAGGACAGUUUUAAUUAUUCGGAGCAGCUUGGUCAGCAUUAGGCUGUAAGAAUUCUGUGAGAGUACAUUUCCUAGUCCUUUGCAGGACUACGUGGACUGUCCUUGAGAUCUCUGUGGUGACACCUCCUAUGUGCACAUUAUCCAUGCUGAGAGCACACCCAGAAGCUCUCAGAUACUGCAGCCCAAACCAUGUCCUCCUGUCCGGGCAGGAGGGGCUGCACCCCUCUGCGCUGAUCAGGUUGGUGUACAC
rnacentral:lncRNA from 1 species